AUGGCGCCACCACCACCACCACUAUGUCGACUGUGCAAGUCAAGAUGCGCCAGCAGCCUUGCAACUGGCAAGCUGUUCGACAUCUACUUCCAGCCGAGUUUUCGUCAUGCGGCGAUCGUCCCAUGCAAUGUGAGGUUGAAAUUCAACAAGCUGACAGGAGACACUGUGACAUUUAAGGCUCCUAGGGGGCCGUACACUAUGGAGGUCGAGAAAGAACGCAAUAUGUCGCAGAUUGGAGGAGAUGGAUGGGCCCGUUUCGUCACUCGCAUGCGUCUUACUAGUGAUGAUGAAGAUGACAAAGAUGAUGAAGAUGAUGAAGAUAAUGAGGACCCACUCGAUGAAGAUGAUGAGGACCCACUUCAUGAAGCCAUCGUAGCUCAAAGAACAAGGCUGAGUGAGGAGGAGGUGUCCAACCUGUGGGACAUAAUUCCGCCACGUGCUGACUUUGUCGGGGUGCCAUUCGUGACUCGCUUGACAAAUACCAUGGUUGAUCGACAUGAUAUGAAAUUGGCAAAGAGCAUAUCUGUGAGUUAUGGUAUCGAGCCUGAUGAAGAAGGCUCGGCUGGACUAUGCCUUACUGCAAGGGGCUCCGUCACAACCUGUACUUACCGCGUGGACACGGACGGUCGCACACACUUAAACUCGGUUGGGUGA
rnacentral:rRNA from 1 species